CGGCGAGCUCCAUGGGGAAGGACUUUGCUCCUCCACCCCCAUUUUCUUGCUCUCCCUCUCUCUAAUCCAGAUCCAGAGCCGGUGGGGAAGUUGGAUGUGAAAGAUCCAGGAUCUCCGGAUCUGUUGAGCUUGGUGGCGGCAGUGACAACGGCAACGUCUCAGACACGCCAUCCUUCCCGAGCAUGCACCGGCGAUGUGCAGGAGACUGAGGUCAAAGCGGAUCUUCCCCGGCUCCAUUUGACCUUGAGGGGUAGCAACCGGCAAUAGUAGUGCCACCAGGAGGGGUAGCAAGUCGCUAUCAACACUUUUAGCUGAUUCAUAUAUCAUCACUAAGCCUAGCAAGCAAUCUUAGAAGAAACUACGGCGCUAAAGUGAUGCCCUCUUUUAUCAGGACAGCUUAUAGAUCUGCAAAUCUGUGGGGGAUCUGUUUUGGCAGCGUAAUAGUGACAUGGGGGACACUUUGUGAAUAGUGCUGAUGGCGAUAUCCUCUAAAGUUGCUUGAAGUGUAUAAUUAACAAUGUGGAACAACUCACGAAGGCCAUGCCUAAUUCUCAUUGUUUAAGUCAGGUAACAGGCUCAGCAAAUUCAAAGGUGCAUUUCAAAUGGACUGGUAUUUAUUUAUAGAACUCUCCACCUUAAUUCUCUACAGACCAUAACUAAUUUUAUUGUUUGUUGUCAUUUUUUUUUUGUUAUAUCUACACAGAACCAUGGUGCUCCAUGUUCAAUUUCUGAAAAUAUAAACACCUAUGAUUAGGAAUGGCACAGCUGACAAAGUGGCCAGUUAACGCUUCUGGAACAAGAACUAUGCAGCACAACAUAUAAAGCCUUAGAGCAAAAACAUCACUACUAUAAAUAAGCACUGUUAUUUCUACCACCUCUGCUGCUACCUGCUAUCUAAGAUAUUAAUGGAACUGCCACCACUUGCAUCUGCAUGGAACCUAAUAUACUUAUGCUGCAUAUUUUGCUGGAUGCUUUGGCUCAGAUGCAUUAUUGCACUGCAAUAAACCUUGAACCAUUCCAGCGCUAAAUUCCAUUGUGCACUUUGAAUGCUCCCAGUCAUAGGUUCUUUCUUUAUACCAUACUAAAAACAGAAUAUGCUUAUGAGAACUCGCAUUAAUUUUUCUCUUAGGAUAGCUGGCUUCAAAGUUUAUAUGCUUUUUUCCCCAUAACAGCAAGCUUAGAUGCAUUUCAUCCUUUCUUGUGCAGUUCCAGUGUAUUUAAAUGUAUCACUGGGUUUAAUUAUUUGUAUAGAAUUCAAAUGUGACUUAAUAUUUGCAUAAGUUCAGUCUCCAUCAAAGUGAUUUUGCUCUAAGCCACAAAAAUGGAGAACUUCUCCUUCACUUGAAUUUCUCUGUUCCAAACUGGAAUACUUAGUUUAAUUGUUAACUUUUGUCUAAUAAAUAUCUUGUCCUUUUUUGUUAGAUCUAUAUCUUAGAUUACACCGUUUAAGAUCUAAUUCAUGUGCCUCAUUUUUUGGUUUCAAAUUGCUCAAAAUAUAGUGGAUAUUAACAGUACUGCAUUUGAGAGCCUCAUUUUUGGUUGCCUUCACCUGGGUGGAUGCUGAUUGCAGCUUGUGGUGAAUCCAAUGAAAUUGCACUGGGAGUGGACUGCUACUGGUUACUCAAAAAUUCUUCCUGGCCUUGGUUUUAUACCUUAUAUCCCCUCUUAAUAAAAUGAUAGUGAUUAGUAAAUGCAAAUAGGAUUGACCACUCUUUUUUUUUUCAUUUUUAAUUAACAACCGUUGAUGUCAUUCGUAGUGUCCAUUCUUGGGUGGUUGUGUUUUAUUUUAUAUCGGUAAAUGAUUACAGGAAAACACAUAUAUUGAUAAGAUAUAUGCCAUUUGCUGAUUCCAUUUUAUUGUACAGCUUGGGAACGAGUUGGCCGAAUGGACCUUUUGAUUGCUUCCUGCAAAUGAUGAUGGUUUCACAGAGUUGCUCCCUCUCCCAGCCUCCAACCAUCUUCUCUUAUUUCUCUAUGACCAUCGCCUUCACCACUGUCAGGUUCAUACCAAUCCUUGCCCUAAAGUGCAAUUGCAUUUGUCUCCCGUCGGUCCCUAUGAUUAAUAAAUAUAUUUGGUCCUUGUGAUUCAAGGCUUCCUAAUUUGAUUUUUCAAGGAAAUCAUUAACAUUAGGUGGUUAGUACUCUCCAACUUAACUCUCUAAUGUGUCAUGGACAGUCUGGAUAUAGAAAAUUACACUUUGGAUGUUCUUUGUUCAAUCUAUGUUUUUACUUUGCCUUACAUUUUUAGAAAAUGUUGUGCAAGAAAUUUUUAGUUCAGAAGGAUUAAACGAACAUGGCUACUUCUAAUGUUGCUGAGAAAAUUCAGAGGCAGUAUAUCUUGAUUGUUUAUUCUUUUGACAAGGUCGGGAGAGAUGAUGGGUGGGGAAUAUCCGGAAAUAUGCCAAUGUAUAGUAUAUCUUAAUUGUUCAGUGUCACUGUUUUUCUUAUAUUGUGCUGGAUAGUGAUUCUGUUGGUAGCUAAAUUUACGGGUUAUUUGAUAAAGUAAUACCAUAUCAUAUUUACAUU